CCUGGAGUUAGGAUGCCAGAGUUCCCUAUUACUGUCUGGCUACAUGGGGCAUUUGGGGCAUUAACAUUCUCGUCUCCAUUACUUUGUCAUGAAAUAUUGGCUUAGAAUUAGGCCAGGGAUUCUUCUCAGGCACUUGAAUUUCCAAGUGAAUCACAAUGCUCAGGAAGGAUUUUUUUUUAAAAAAUUCAAGUAUCUGUGCCACUUCCCAGAAUGAGUGAAUGAGAUUGUGAGGAUGGCAAAUGGCUGGGAGAUCCAGAUGUUCUGCCUUGUGUGUCCACUGAAACCAUCAUCUGCCCACAGUAACCAGCAACACCAGGCAUGUGUGAUCCUCCUUUAUGAACUGUGCCUAAUUAGUUUUUUAUUGUCAUCUUCUAACUCACACUUAAACAGUUCAAACAGGGGCAGCAUGACUCCCAAUACCGAUUAAUAAGCCGCCAGCCCUGGUCCUGCAAUA
rnacentral:lncRNA from 1 species